rnacentral:rRNA from 1 species
AGAGUUUGAUCCUGGCUCAGGACUAACGCUGGCGGCGUGCCUAACACAUGCAAGUCGAACGUGCUUAUUUUUGAUAGCAAUAUUGAAGAUGAGAAAGUGGCGAACGGGUGAGUAACACGUAGGUAAUCUGCCUUUGAGAUGGGAACAACGCAGGGAAACUUGUGUUAAUGCCCAAUAAGCCCACGCUCCGGGAGGGGUGAGGGAAAAGGGUUCUCGCAAGAGAGUCGCUUGAAGAUGAGCCUGCGGCCUAUCAGUUAGUUGGUGGGGUAAUGGCCUACCAAGACGAAGACGGGUAGCCGGCCUAAGAGGGUGAACGGCCACAUUGGAACUGAGACACGGUCCAAACUCCUACGGGAGGCAGCAGUGGGGAAUAUUGCACAAUGGGCGAAAGCCUGAUGCAGCAACGCCGCGUGAGCGAUGAAGGCCUUUGGGUCGUAAAGCUCUGUCCUUGGGGAAGAAAAAAAUGACGGUACCCUUGGAGGAAGCCCCGGCUAACUACGUGCCAGCAGCCGCGGUAAUACGUAGGGGGCAAGCGUUAUCCGGAAUUAUUGGGCGUAAAGAGUGCGUAGGUGGUUUUAUAAGCGCGAGGUGAAAGGCAAUGGCUCAACUAUUGUAAGCCUUGCGAACUGUAAGACUUGAGUGCAGGAGAGGAAAGUGGAAUUCCUAGUGUAGCGGUGAAAUGCGUAGAUAUUAGGAGGAACACCAGUGGCGAAGGCGACUUUCUGGACUGUAACUGACACUGAGGCACGAAAGCGUGGGGAGCAAACAGGAUUAGAUACCCUGGUAGUCC